UGAGCUAAACUAUUCACUCUAAUUAUACAACAGAAGCAUUUUAAAAUACUUGAACUGAAAAACAAAGCAUUGCAUUAACCAACCAUGAAUCCACCACCGGCACAGUUACCACCACCGUCACAACUACCACCACCACUUUCACCACCUCCACAACAACAUCCACCGCCAUUACUACCACCACCACCACCCCUAAACCUCAACACAACCCUCUCCUCUCUCACCAACCUCCUCACCUUCUCCACCCAAAUCCUCUCAACAACCCCCCAACCCCAAACCCCAACCACCAAUCUCAUCCCCUGCCUUUUCAAUCCCAACCAUCUCAUCCCACCACCGUCCCUCUUCCUCCACCACCUCCGCUGCCCUUCCUCUCCUCGUCCUCUCCCUCACAUCGAUCAUCUCCUCACUUCUCUCUCUUACCCUAAAACCCUCCAAAACCCUACCUCCAUUCACCUCUCUUCUUACCUCGAUUUCACAAACUUUUUCUACAACAAUUGCCCCGGCGUCGUUACCUUUUCCGACGCUAACUCCGUCGCUCAAACCGCCACAUUUCACCUCCCUGAUUUUUUAUCUCGAGAAUGUUCUACCGUGUGCUCACCCACACCCAAUCAUAAACCUUCUCCCAUUGUUCCUUCUGAAUACUAUUACAUUACCCGCGAAAUUGAAUCAUGGAACAAUUUUCCAAUUACAUACUCAAACUCUGUUUUUCGCGCAAUUUUUGGUAUUGGAAUUGCAAAAGAGAGUGAAAUGGUGAACUGGUUGUUAUCGAAUUCGUCUCGAUAUGGCAUUGUAAUUGAUACAUCUAUGCAGAAACAUAUUUUUUUGCUGUUUUGUUUAGGUUUCAAAGCAAUUCUUAGAGAUGCUUUUCUUUUGAAUAAUGUGUUAAUGUGGUUAGAAUCUCAGGUUUCAAUUCUGUAUGGUGUUAGUGGAAAAUUGUUUGUUCUUAAUUUUGUGAAGAAAUGUAUUCUGGUUGGUGCUUCGGCUCUGCUUUUGUUUCCGUUAGGGAACGAGGGUGGUGAGUCUGUUGGUUCGAAGGAAGGAAAGAGUGACACCAAUUGUAUUAGGGAGAGGAAAAUUUUGAUGCCGCAAGUUGUUGCUGCUGUUGCGGCGUUGCACGAACGAGCUUUGCUUGAACGUAAAAUUAAGGAAUUUUGGUUUUCUCAUCCGUCAAAUAACUAUCAGCUGAAAGCUGAGCAUUGUUAUUUAUCUGACAAAGCUAAGGAAGAGCGGAAUAAGCGUGCUGAUUAUAGACCUAUAAUUGAGUAUGAUUGGGUUCAUCAGCAGCAUUCACAUCACCAGGAAACACAAAAAGAGAAGACACGAGAGGAGUUACUGGCUGAAGAAAGGGAUUAUAAACGUCGAAGAAUGUCUUAUCGGGGCAAGAAAAGAAAUCAAUCAACUAUACAGGUGAUGAGGGACCUGAUAGGGGAAUACAUGGAGGAAAUCAAGCUGGCUGCAGGUGUUAAGAGCCCUGUCAAUGUUUCUGAAGACAGUGGGAUGCCUCCACCUCCGCCUAAACUUCUUUCUAGUCACACGAUUUCUACGGAAGCCAAUAAUUCAAGAGAAGUUAGUCAUGACUCACCUGCAGUGACAAUCAGUAACCCAGAUCAUCACGAGCAACAAUCUCACACAAAUUAUUCUGACAAAAGCAAAGUUGUACAUGAUGCUACUUCUAGAGAUUAUGAACAACGUAAACAAGGACAUCAGGGGAGUCACCAUCAUGGAGGAGAUGAACGAGGUACUGAUCAAGAAAACCAUAGGAGUCAUGCGUCAACAAGCCCUGAAAGACAUAGAAGUCGUAGUCGAUCACAUGAGCAUAGAGUUCAUCAUGAGAAACAAGAUUACUCAGGUAGAAAGAAGUAUAAUAACUCGUCAAGAACCAAGGAUAGGUGGCAAAAUGACACACACAAGAAUCACACAUCAGAUUCUUUCUCAAGAAGUGAUCCUUCAGAAUCUCGUGGUGUUGGGGAGCAUGAUAUCUCAUCUGAUGACAAAUAUAUCAAGCCAGAUAAAUUUUAGCGUAAGGAACUUAAUUAACCGCACAGGCCAAAACUAUGAAGGCAUUACAUCUGCAGUGGUCUUAGCAUACCAAGCUAGCUUUGGCGCUUUUAUCACUGUAUCCUCCUUUGUAUCCUUAACUUUGAAAGAGUAUCUUAGAAGCAUUCGUUGGAGUGAUUUUACUGUCCAUAUUAUCACUAUUGCAUUCUUUAUUUUCCUUCUCAAGAUAAAAGCAACAAAAUUCAAUUAUGGCAACCACAAAGAAAAUCUAUUUCCAUCAAUAAAUGUUUCUCAUUGUUUACCUAGAAUUUUGUUGUUGUUGUUGUUGUUGUUGUUUUUAGUUUAAUUACAUGAUAAAUGUGUCUCUAGGAGAAAAGAAACAAGAUGUUAAUGUUCUACUUCAGAUAUUGGCUAAUUUAACUACUUGGAAAGCAAUUAUAUAGGUUCCUAUGUCUUCUAGAGGCUUUAGGUAUUAAGAUGAAGCAACUUCAGUGUGUUUUUGGUAAAUGGUUGUUCUAUUUUGUCUCAAUAUACAGUGAUUUGAUUUGAAUUCUUUUUAAAUCUCUAGUAUUUUUCUUGUCAUCGACUCCCCUGUUUUGUUCUCCUCUCCCAAUCACAUGCUGCUAAUCUUAACUGAAAAUGUGCAAAGGCUGGCCGAACAUUGUCGUUAUCAUCUAUUUAUAUAUUGCCUUAAAAUUUAUUAAAUAUUUCAGCAUUAUCUGAUAUCAGAAUGCCUUUGAUGGCUUACUUACUUUGCGUUGAUUUCAUUCAGGUAGAAAAAAAACAGAACAUCUCAAUAUCUGUCUGAAUUCCCUCUAUUCUUUUUUCGUUUUCUGUUUCUGAGUUCCAGGCUCAUCAAUUGACUUCUUUGUUUCUACAUUUUUUAGUAGUAGUGAGACUCAGCUGUGAUGAAGUGACUUCAAUGUCAGGACUGCAGAUGCUAGUGACUACAGAGGAAGUCUGGGCUCAGCAUGAAACAGUACCAAACUUUUUUUUAUUGCAAGAGAAGUCGUCUCAGUUCUUUCUUUGCACAAGGGCUGAGCAGUCUUAUGUCGUAAGAUGGAUUGUGACCUGCCUCUGCCCAUUUUUUAGAACUUAACUUUAUUUUGGAAGAAUAUCCAGUCCACAGGUUCUCUCCAUUGGAUAAUAUGUUUUUCUUGUCAACAUUGUUUUUUUUGGUUACUUUGUAUGAUAUAACCAUAAUGUUGUGCAAUAUGCUCGGUAAUGGAGGAACAAACUUUAGAAAUUUUGAUUCUCAAGCAACAAGAGCAAUUGCUGCCAUUUUACCUGGGAAGUAGUAUAUUUGCCAGUUUUGUCUAAUUACUCAACAAAUCCAUGAAGUGUAUGAUUUA